CCGUCAUCACCAUUUACCUGAAUAAUCUUUCGGGCAUUUGGCGUGUUCGGAAGAAACUUCCGAGCGGUGCAAAAUGAGAGUAGAUCUAAAAACCAAUUUCCACCCCUUCGGAAGAUGAUUUCGAAGGGGUUCUUUU
rfam:Haemophilus parasuis SH0165, complete genome.